ACGGCACCGCCGCGGGAGCCUCGGUAGGCCUCAGAUAGCCGGUGGUCCCCUGCUUGUCCCGCCAGCGGUCCGU
rnacentral:miRNA from 1 species